rnacentral:lncRNA from 1 species
GUCAGAGUCCCUGAGCAAACCCUUCUAGGUAAAUGGUGUUGGCCAAUUCACAAGCCUCUCAGUGCGUUAAUAUCCCUAAAGCCUGCAUCUAUAAUUGCUUAGGGGUGAUGAGUCUGGGGUGUGUAUUUUGUGGAUAAUCCAGCUCCUUGCAUUUUGUCUGUAUUCCCCACCUCUUGCAAUCAGAUGAACCAUAAGCACAGGAUCGCUACUUUUAAAUUGGAAAGAGGCUUCGAGGUUAGCAGGAUAUCCUCAAUGCCAUGGAAAGAGAAAGACAUCUCUGACAAUAGACAGUUGCCACAAGUCCCCACAGUCUGGAGGAAAGCCACCUUGGGAUUACCCCUGCAGCUUUCUGUUCCCAUCCUUAUUUGCCCACAUCCUGGCACUCACAGGCAUUUUCUCAGCCUCCUGGCUGACAAGAGUUGUUGGCAGGCCUAAAAGCCUAGCAGUGAACCAACCUUGAGACUGAAGAAAGAGCUCAAUGACAAUGACAGACGUCAGUGGUUCAAUAGAUGGGGUGUGUUACCUGUGAACCGGUCCUGGAGCUACUCUGCACUGUGUUCAGUAGACAAUGAGCAGGACACAGCAUCAGUCUUCCCUGAUCAGGGCAGAAGUGGGCUCUGGUUUAGCAGGAGAACUGACGUCAGCUUGGCCCAUCAGCUACCUGGGAAACCAGCUUAUGGGCUAUGUUGCUCAUGGCCUCUAAGUUUAAUGACCAUCAGUGGGGUAGAUUUUUUUUUUUAGAUGUUUUCUUUUCAUAAACUAGCAGGUGAAGCCAUUCUGACAUAAGCAGCAAAGGGCAAGUACAUUCAUGUGAGCAGGAUGUAGGCAAAGCAUGGAAUGGUCAAGUAAGGGAUAUACAAAGAGCAAGAGAACAGCCAUUUUGAGGGACCUAACCAAACACUCCACCCAACAUACUCUGAUCAAAACUUACAUCUUAGUCUUCCCUCUUUCCUUGAUAUCCCUAAGGUCAGGUAUCUCGAGAUAGACUACAACCAAGUACCACAAAUGCAAUACAGAUGACAGCAGUUAAUGAACACUGAGAAUCUAAGAAGUAGGCAAACUUUAGAGCCCGGCAAU